ensembl:misc_RNA
CUGAUAUCCUUAGGGACUGAAGUCUUCAGUUGAGCCACAGAACGAGUACAGCACAGACAGGGGCAGUGCAGGCUUCACCUAAUGGUCAAUGUGCUUCAUCUUGGACCAGAGAGGUUCAUGGUGUGUGGCCACUCUGCUGAGAUUGCCGCCAAGGGUGCC